rnacentral:rRNA from 1 species
CCUACGGGUGGCAGCAGUGAGGAAUAUUGGUCAAUGGGCGCAAGCCUGAACCAGCCAAGUCGCGUGAGGGAUGACGGUCCUAUGGAUUGUAAACCUCUUUUGUCGGGGAGCAAGGCCCGCCACGUGUGGCGGGAAGGAGAGUACCCGAAGAAAAAGCAUCGGCUAACUCCGUGCCAGCAGCCGCGGUAAUACGGAGGAUCCGAGCGUUAUCCGGAUUUAUUGGGUUUAAGGGGAGCGUAGGUGGAGUGUUAAGUCAGUUGUGAAAGUUUGCGGCUCAACCGUAAAAUUGCAGUUGAAACUGGCAGUCGUGAGUACAGUAGAGGUGGGCGGAAUUCGGGGUGGAGCGGUGAAAUGCUUAGAUAUCACGAAGAACUCCGAUUGCGAAGGCAGUUCACUGGACUGCAACUGACACUGAGGCUCGAGAGUGUGGGUAUCAAACAGGAUUAGAUACCCUUGUAGUC